ACUCAAAUGAAUAGACGGGGGCCCGCACAAGCAGCGGAGCGUGUGGUUUAAUUCGAGGUUACACGAAGAACCUUACCUAGACUUGACAUAGCGGUGGUAGAGAAGCGAAAGCGGAUCGACCUUCGGGAGCCGUUACAGGUGCUGCAUGGCUGUCGUCAGCUCGUGUCGUGAGAUGUUCGGUUAAGUCCGAAAACGAGCGCAACCCUCGGGGCUAGUUACAAGUGUCUAGCGCGACUGCCCGUGACAAACGGGAGGAAGGUGAGGAUGAUGUCAAGUCAGCAUGGCCUUUAUGUCUGGGGCUACACACACGCUACAAUGGGCGGUACAAUGGGGAGCGAAGCCGCGAGGCGGAGCGAAUCCUAAAAAGCCGUUCGUAGUUCGGAUUGCAGGCUGCAACUCGCCUGCAUGAAGUCGGAGUUGCUAGUAACCGCGCGUCAGCUAUAGUGCGGUGAAUACGUUCCCGGGCCUUGCACACACCGCCCGU
rnacentral:rRNA from 1 species